GAUGAAGAACGCAGCGAAAUGCGAUAAGUAAUGUGAAUUGCAGAAUUCAGUGAAUCAUCGAAUCUUUGAACGCAUCUUGCGCUCCUUGGUAUUCUGAGGAGCAUGCCUGUUUGAGUGUCAUUAAAUUCUCAACCGCACUGACUUUGAAUUGGUGUGGCUUGGAUUUGGGGGGAAAAUUGUUGUGGGCUUUUUUGUAUAGUCUGCUCCCCUGAAAUUGAUUAGCGGUACCUUUGUGGAACUGUCUACAGGUGUGAUAAUUAUCUACAUCCUAGACAUCUGCUGGAAUGCUGCUUUCUAAACCUUACUUGUAUUGACAAUCUUGAUCUCAAAUCAGGUAGGACUACCCGCUGAACUUAAGCAUAUCAAUAAGCGGAGGA
rnacentral:misc_RNA from 1 species